rnacentral:rRNA from 1 species
UACGAAGGGAGCUAGCGUUGUUCGGAAUCACUGGGCGUAAAGCGCACGUAGGCGGAUGUGUCAGUCAGGGUGAAAUCCCGGAGCUCAACUUCGGAACUGCCCUUGAUACAGCACGUCUUGAGCUCGGAAGAGGUGGGUGGAAUUCCUAGUGUAGAGGUGAAAUUCGUAGAUAUUAGGAAGAACACCGGUGGCGAAGGCGGCCCACUGGUCCGGUACUGACGCUGAGGUGC